GAAAACUCCCAGAACAUUUCAUAGGAGGUUGCAAAAACCCCUCUCUUCCACUGAAAGGUGAUGCUCUAUUAAUGAAUGCUGGGAAAAGACAGCGUCAGAGGACAGCAAGCAGGGCUUCAGUGACUGAGACAGCAAUUUCACACAGUUCAUACGAGUACCCUGCUGGAUCAUCAAUUCCCCCUGUCAACCCAGAGAACAAAAGGAUAAAGUCCUAAAGACACCAAAUUAAGAACAGAGUGUUGCCAGAUGACGGCUCACGCUUGACUGACGAUGUUCUGUCAUCUAUUGGUGCUAACUAUGGAUCAGUGUCUGUCUCUACAGCCUUUUUAAUAGG